rnacentral:tmRNA from 1 species
GGCCUUUUCAUUGCGCCAGGCCCUGCCUAUAUCGCGAGUGCCGGGUUCGCCCGGCUAUGGUGAUAAAGUGCAGCGUAGACUAGAUGCAGCGGACCCGGGGGCAGUACCCGGCGACUCCACCAAAACCCCUCUUGCCGGAGGGGCUCUGACGGGGUCGAACCAGGAUCGACGUGUGUUGAAAGGCGCUGUUUUUGCCCGGGCUGAGUAACCUGUAAAAGGCUCAAAACCACAAGUGCUAACGAUAACGAAGCACUCGCGAUUGCGGCGUAACUAAAGGCCUAACGGCCUAGGUUACCCCAAAAGAACGCGGUUCGGGCUGCACCGGGCAACAGAAGCAGACACC